rnacentral:misc_RNA from 1 species
AGUCUCGUGAAGGGCCCAAAUCUGCUUCAAUCUCUUUUGCACUCGUUGCGCGAUAAACCCUAGUAACGCCACCACCUACCGUCUUGGCCUUCUUCCCUACGAGCAACAAUGGCUUCCAGUGAUCAUACCAUACUGCAAUUUUCACCAUCUUCAACCGGCAUAUCCGCAAAGGUUCACCCUUUAGUCAUAUUCAACAUAUGUGACUGCUUUGUCAGACGUCCCGAUCAAGCCGACCGAAUCAUUGGCACUCUUCUUGGAUCAGUAUUACCUGACGGUACUGUAGACAUUCGCAAUUCCUAUGCUGUUCCACAUAGCGAGUCACAAGAUCAGGUUGCCUUGGAUAUUGAUUAUCAUCACAAUAUGUUAUCAUCUCAUCAGAAGGUGAAUCCAAAGGAAGUCAUUGUUGGAUGGUUUUCUACUGGUUUCGGAGUCACAGGUGGUAGUGCUUUGAUUCAUGAGUUUUUUUCUAGAGAAACUACAAAUCCGAUACAUUUGACCAUUGACACUGGAUUCACAAAUGGAGAAGCUUCUGUAAAAGGUUUUGUUUCUGUGCAUUUGUCUAUUGGAGAUCAGCAGCUUGCUGCACAAUUUCAGGAAAUUCCAUUGGAUCUGCGCAUGGUUGAAGCUGAAAGGAUUGGAUUUGAUAUACUUAAGACGACUGCGGUAGAGAAACUUCCCAACGAUCUUGAAGGAAUGGAAGCCUCAAUGCAACGAUUACUUGCUCUGAUUGAUGACAUCUACAAAUAUGUUGAUGAUGU